rnacentral:rRNA from 1 species
UACGUAGGGGGCUAGCGUUGUCCGGAAUCAUUGGGCGUAAAGAGCGUGUAGGCGGCCCGGUAAGUCCGCUGUAAAAGUCAAAGGCUCAACCUUUGAAUGUCAGUGGAUACUGCCGGGCUAGAGUCCGGAAGAGGCGAGUGGAACUCCUGGUGUAGCGGUGGAAUGCGCAGAUAUCAGGAAGAACACCAACGGCGAAGGCAGCUCGCUAGGACGGUACUGACGCUGAGACGCGAAAGCGUGGGGAGCGAUCCGG